GUCUCAGUUCAGAUUGCAGGCUGCAACUCGCCUGCAUGAAGUCGGAAUUGCUAGUAAUCGCAGAUCAGCAUGCUGCGGUGAAUACGUUCCCGGGCCUUGUACACACCGCCCGUCACACCAUGGGAGUCGGUAACACCCGAAGUCGGUAGCCUAACCGUAAGGAGGGCGCCGCCGAAGGUGGGAUUGAUGACUGGGGUGAAGUCGUAACAAGGUAAC
rnacentral:rRNA from 1 species